rnacentral:rRNA from 1 species
UGGCGGACGGGUGAGUAACGCGUGGAAAACCUUGCCGUAUACUGGGGGAUAACACUUAGAAAUAGGUGCUAAUACCGCAUAAGCGCACAGCUUCGCAUGAAGCGGUGUGAAAAACUCUGGUGGUAUACGAUGGUUCCGCGUCUGAUUAGCUAGUUGGUGGGGUAAUGGCCUACCAAGGCAACGAUCAGUAGCCGGCCUGAGAGGGUGAACGGCCACAUUGGGACUGAGACACGGCCCAAACUCCUACGGGAGGCAGCAG